AGUAAUUAAAUUAAUUAAUUAAUCUCUUGUUAAUCAAGGAAUGAAGAAGUAACUGCCCGCUGCUUGUCAGUACAUAACUUGAUUAGAAAUUCGAGCCGCUCGUUUUGCCCAAAAUUAAGGCAAAAGAAGGAAAGACAGUUAACGAUUCUCACCAAAGGGCGAGAAAGAAUUUCUCGAAUUUGAAACUGAUGAGAGAGAGGAGUGGAUGGAGCUCCUGAUUUGAGAGGUUGUAUCUCAACUGUGAAUCGAGAGAAGGCCGGAGCAAGCGAAGCUGAUCGGCAACAAUGGAGAAGUUACUGUUGGACGAGAAUUUCGUGGCGGUUAAGGCGAAGCACUCUCCGGACGAGACGUUGCAGAGAUGGAGGGACCUCUGCGGAGUGGUCAAGAACCCCAAGCGCAGGUUCCGCUUCACUGCUAAUCUCUCCAAGCGCUGCGAGGCCGCUGCCAUGCGCAGGACCAAUCAGGAGAAGUUGAGAGUUGCAGUUCUCGUUUCCAAAGCUGCAUUUCAGUUCAUCCAAGGUGUCCAACCAAGCGACUAUGUUGUACCUCAGGAAGUUAAAGCUGCCGGCUUCAGCAUUUGUGCCGAUGAACUGGGAUCCAUUGUUGAAGGCCAUGAUCUAAAAAAGCUGAAAUUUCAUGGUGGUGUAGCUGGAAUUGCAGACAAGCUCUCCACAUCAACCAACACUGGUCUCACAACUGAUACUGAUUUGCUGAAUCGCAGGCAAGAGACUUUUGGAAUCAAUAAAUUCACUGAAUGUGAACCAAAAAGUUUUUGGGUGUUUGUUUGGGAAGCCCUUCAAGAUAUGACCCUUAUGAUCCUUGGUGUGUGUGCAUUUGUUUCUUUGAUAGUUGGCCUAGCAAUGGAAGGAUGGCCAAAGGGGGCUCAUGAUGGUCUUGGGAUCGUUGCUAGUAUUUUAUUGGUUGUAUUUGUCACAGCAACAAGUGAUUAUCGGCAAUCAUUGCAGUUCAAAGAUUUGGACAAAGAGAAGAAGAAGAUUUCAAUUCAAGUUACAAGGAGUGGGUAUCGGCAGAAAAUGUCAAUAUAUGAUCUAUUGCCUGGUGAUAUUGUAUUUCUUUCCAUUGGGGACCAAGUCCCAGCAGAUGGACUCUUUGUUUCAGGAUUUUCGGUGGUAAUUGAUGAAUCUAGUUUGACAGGUGAGAGUGAGCCGGUGAUGGUAAAUUCUCAAAAUCCAUUCCUUCUAUCAGGCACUAAGGUCCAAGAUGGAUCAUGCAAGAUGAUAGUAACAACUGUUGGGAUGAGAACUCAAUGGGGUAAGUUGAUGGCAACCCUUAGUGAGGGAGGAGAUGACGAAACCCCACUGCAAGUUAAACUGAAUGGGGUGGCAACAAUUAUUGGAAAGAUAGGUCUUUUCUUUGCUGUUGUGACUUUUGCAGUUCUGGUGCAAAAAAUGUUUGGCCGUAAACUGAAAGAGGGGACCCAUUGGAGCUGGUCUGGAGAUGAUGCAUUAGAAAUGUUGGAAUACUUUGCUAUUGCUGUCACGAUUGUUGUUGUUGCAGUUCCUGAGGGUCUGCCUCUGGCUGUGACAUUGAGCCUUGCCUUUGCCAUGAAGAAGAUGAUGAACGAUAAGGCUCUUGUCCGCCAUUUAGCUGCUUGUGAGACAAUGGGGUCUGCCACAACUAUUUGCAGUGACAAAACUGGCACACUGACUACCAACCACAUGACAGUUGUCAAAUCAUGCAUUUGCAUGAAUGCCCAGGAAGUGAAUAAAGGAGCUGCUAAUUUUUGCUCUGAAAUCCCAGAUUCUACCGUCAAACUUCUGUUAAAUGCCAUAUUUACUAAUACUGGUGGAGAAGUUGUGAUUAACAAAGAAGGCAAACGCGAGAUAUUAGGAACACCAACUGAGACUGCUUUAUUGGAGUUUGGCUUGUCGCUUGGUGGGGAUUUUCAGGGAGAGCGAAAUGCAUCUAAAAUUAUUAAAGUUGAGCCAUUCAAUUCUGAAAAGAAACGAAUGGGGGUGGUGUUGGAGCUUCCUGAUGGAGGUAUGAGAGCCUAUUGCAAAGGUGCUUCAGAAAUAAUAUUGGCUGCCUGUGAGAAGGUGGUCAAUUCUAGUGGUGAGGUUGUUCCCCUUGAUGAAGCCUCCAUGAACCAUCUCAAGGUUAAAAUAGAGCACUUUGCCAAUGAAGCUCUUCGGACUCUAUGCCUCGCCUAUAUGGAACUUGACAAGGGGUUCUCUGCUGAUAAUCCUAUCCCACUUUCAGGAUAUACUUGUAUAGGAAUUGUGGGUAUCAAAGAUCCUGUUCGGCCUGGUGUCAAGGAAUCUGUUGCACUUUGUCGUUCAGCUGGUGUUACUGUCAGGAUGGUUACUGGAGACAAUAUAAAUACUGCAAAAGCUAUUGCUAGGGAAUGCGGGAUACUUACUGAUGAGGGCAUUGCCAUAGAAGGUCCAGUUUUUCGGGAAAAAAGUCUAGAGGAAUUACAUGAACUAAUUCCCAAAAUUCAGGUGAUGGCCCGAUCUUCACCUUUAGACAAACAUAUGAUGGUGAAGCACUUACGGACUACAUUUGAUGAAGUUGUUGCAGUUACCGGUGAUGGCACAAAUGAUGCCCCAGCACUUCAUGAAGCUGAUAUUGGACUUGCAAUGGGCAUUGCUGGAACUGAGGUUGCUAAAGAGAGUGCAGAUGUCAUUAUUCUGGAUGAUAACUUCUCCACGAUUGUGACUGUGGCCAAAUGGGGGCGCUCAGUCUACGUAAACAUUCAAAAAUUUGUACAGUUUCAGCUGACUGUAAAUGUGGUUGCACUAAUUGUUAACUUCUCUUCGGCUUGUGCAACAGGGGUUGCCCCUCUCACGGCUGUUCAGCUUUUGUGGGUCAACAUGAUUAUGGACACUUUAGGAGCACUAGCACUAGCAACUGAGCCUCCUAAUGAUGAGUUAAUGAAGCGGGCACCAGUUGGAAGAAGAGGAAAUUUCAUCAGUAAUAUUAUGUGGAGGAAUAUCUUGGGCCAAUCCUUGUACCAGUUUAUGGUAAUAUGGUAUCUUCAGCGGAAAGGGAAGGCAACCUUUGGCCUUGAUGGCGAAGAUUCAGAUCUGGUCCUCAACACACUUAUUUUUAACUCAUUUGUAUUCUGCCAGAUAUUCAAUGAAAUAAGCUCCAGAGAGAUGGAGAAAUGGGACGUAUUUGAAGGCAUACUGGACAACCAUGUUUUUGUUGGUGUCAUCAGUUGCACUGUCGUUUUCCAGAUCAUAAUCGUUGAAUACCUGGGUGCAUUUGCUAAUACAACACCCCUCAGUUUUGGACAAUGGUUCUUUAGUAUAUUUAUUGGAUUAAUAGGCAUGCUAGCUGCUGCAGGCAUAAAGACAAUUGAUGUGGAACCGGACUCAUAAAUGCCAUUUUUCGAAUGAAAUGAAGAAGAUUAGCCAAAAGAGCUCUAAGCUUCCUUGAUCUUGUGACAGUUGGCUUUUCUAAGUGACGAACGCUAUCAGACUGGGAGGAUAUGCCAUUUCUCUGAAUAGAAAGACAGGAGUUGCUAGUUUUGAAUCUUGUCACGAUCAUUUUUGUUUCUUUCAGAAGAUUCCACAUUUCCCCGUUACCUUCAUAGUUUUCUUAGCGGCCAAAGAAGCAUACUGGAUUUAGGGUUGAGGAUCUCCCUGAUGCUUUCUGGACACAGUGAUAUAUUGUUAUCAGGUGAAAACAGUCCUUUUGUUUUUGUCUUUUUUCUCAAGUUUGCAAUUCAGUGUUGUAAUAUGAUAAAAGUUAUUAGGGAGGAAAGGAAAAUUUUGAUUCUGGCACUACUGAGUUUCAACUCAAUAGACCCCAUCUCAAUUCCAUGAGGGAGACAAUUCUUAUCAGUAUUAAUGUUGAUACUAUUAGCACGUAAAGCGAUCAACCAAACUGGACACAGUAAAGAGGCUGAUAUAAGAAACAGAUAUACAUUUUGAGGAAGAUAGCCAGGAAAGUGUACUAGCUAUAAGCAUAAUUUCUGA